rnacentral:rRNA from 1 species
UACGAAGGGAGCUAGCGUUGUUCGGAAUUACUGGGCGUAAAGGGCGUGUAGGUGGUUUGAUAAGCAAGAUGUGAAAUCCCUGGGCUUAACCUAGGAAUGGCAUUUUGGACUGUUAGACUCAGUGUGCGAGAGGGGAAAGUGGAAUGGCGAGUGGAGCAGUGAAAUGCGUUGAUAUUCGUUGGAACACCAGAGGCGAAGGCGACUUUCUGGCUCGACACAGACACUAAGGCGCGAAAGCGUGGGGAGCAAA